GUGAUGCUGCUAUACAGUCAGGUAAUGUUUUUGGGAACGUGGUGAUCACCGUGGGCAACAUCUACACCUCAGAACAUCCUGUCAGUGCCACAGUAGAACAUUAUGAAACUCAGUUGACUUUUACUUUCACUAUUGAUGAGGGUGAGAUAGAGAUGUGGUGGCCCAACGGCUAUGGUUCUCAGCCACUUUAUAAUAUGACCAUCCUGUGGACCGAUACAAAUCAAUCUGAAACUUCCAGCAAGAGUAUUCGUGUUGGAUUCCGCACUGUCGAACUAAACCAGGAUUUUGUUGAUUCCAGUGACGAGACGAAAGGUCGACACUUCCGGGUGCUGGUGAACAAUGUUCAUGUGUAACUAUCUCUGCAGGUCGACACUUCCGGGUGCUGGUGAACAAUGUUCGUGUGUAACUAUCUCUGCAGGUCGACACUUCCGGGUGCUGGUGAACAAUGUUCAUGUGUAACUAUCUCUGCAGGUCGACACUUCCGGGUGCUGGUGAACAAUGUUCAUGUGUAACUAUCUCUGCAGGUCGACACUUCCGGGUGCUGGUGAACAAUGUUCAUGUGUAACU